rnacentral:rRNA from 1 species
GUUGAACGCUGGCGGCAUGCCUAACACAUGCAAGUCGAACGAGUGGCGGACGGGUGAGUAGUGUCUGGGCAACUGCCUAAUGGAGCGAGAUAACUACUGGAAACGGUGGCUAAUACCGCAUAACGUCCUAUGUGCCCAGAUGGGAUUAGCUAGUUGGUGGGGUAACGGCUCACCAAGGCGACGAUCCCUAGCUGGUCUGAGAGGAGGACCAGCCACACUGGAACUGAGACACGGCCCAGACUCCUACGGGAGGCAGCAGUGGGGAAUAUUGCACAAUGGGCGAAAGCCUGACGCAGCCACGCCGCGUGUAUGAAGAAGGUCUUCGGGUUGUAAAGCACUGUCAGCGGGGAGGCGUUACCCGAAGAAGAAGCACCGGCUAACUCCGUGCCAGCAGCCGCGGUAAUUC